rnacentral:rRNA from 1 species
CAGUAGCCACGGGAAUACGGAGGGAGCUAGCGUUGUUCGGAAUCACUGGGCGUAAAGCGCACGUAGGCGGCUAUUCAAGUCAGGGGUGAAAGCCCGGGGCUCAACCCCGGAACUGCCAUUGAAACUAGAUAGCUUGAAUCUUGGAGAGGUGAGUGGAAUUCCGAGUGUAGAGGUGAAAUUCGUAGAUAUUCGGAAGAACACCAGUGGCGAAGGCGGCUCACUGGACGCGUAUUGACGCUGAGGUGCGAAAGCGUGGGGAGCAAACAGGAUUAGAUACCCCCGUAGUCCCUGUCUCUUAUAC